UAUACAUGCAGUCGAGCGAACUGAUUAGAAGCUUGCUUCUAUGACGUUAGCGGCGGACGGGUGAGUAACACGUGGGCAACCUGCCUGUAAGACUGGGAUAACUUCGGGAAACCGAAGCUAAUACCGGAUAGGAUCUUCUCCUUCAUGGGAGAUGAUUGAAAGAUGGUUUCGGCUAUCACUUACAGAUGGGCCCGCGGUGCAUUAGCUAGUUGGUGAGGUAACGGCUCACCAAGGCAACGAUGCAUAGCCGACCUGAGAGGGUGAUCGGCCACACUGGGACUGAGACACGGCCCAGACUCCUACGGGAGGCAGCAGUAGGGAAUCUUCCGCAAUGGACGAAAGUCUGACGGAGCAACGCCGCGUGAGUGAUGAAGGCUUUCGGGUCGUAAAACUCUGUUGUUAGGGAAGAACAAGUACRAGAGUAACUGCUCGUACCUUGACGGUACCUAACCAGAAAGCCACGGCUAACUACGUGCCAGCAGCCGCGGUAAUACGUAGGUGGCAAGCGUUAUCCGGAAUUAUUGGGCGUAAAGCGCGCGCAGGC
rnacentral:rRNA from 1 species